CCUCCAGCGUGUGUUGGUGUGCUGGCUAUGGGGAAUAGUUGGCGCGGUCAAGCGCGACUGACCAUGAUUAGUGGUAGGAAGUUGGAGGCAAUAACAGGUCUGUGAUGCCCUUUGAUGUUCUGGGCCGCACGCGCGCUACACUGACAAAGGCAGCGAGGGAUGGUCUUGGCCGGAAGGUCUGGAGGAUCUUGUGAAACUUUGUCGUGCUGGGGAUAGACGAUUGCAAUUGUUGGUCUUGAACGAGGAAUUCCUAGUAAGCGCAAGUCAUCAGCUUGCGUUGAUUACGUCCCUGCCCUUUGUACACACCGCCCAUCGCUACUACCGAUUGGAUGGUUUAGUGAGACGUGUACUUGAGGCGGCUGAGGCGGCUUGUGGGCACACUUCAAACUUGAUCAUCUAGAGGAAGUAAAAGUUG
rnacentral:rRNA from 1 species